rnacentral:lncRNA from 1 species
AUCUAUCUGCCCUGAAAUUUUCAGAUGAAUCAGACAACCCGUUGAUAGGUUGCUGCCCCUGAAUUGGUAAUUUUAAGGAAAUUUUGCUGUUUUUGGUUAUUAUCUUGAAUAUUAUCAUAGAUAGAGAUAAACUGUAAACAGCAAAAAUGUUCAGUAAAGUAAGAUCUACAAAUAAGUUAACAGGACCAAAAUGGUCUGUUGACCCCUUUAGGAGUUAUUGCCCUUUAUAGUCAAUUUUUAACCAUUUUU